CUUGUAAACCAAGAUUGACGGGCGAUAUGUGCUUAAAGUUUUUCUCUUUUAAUUUUUUUUUUUUUAUAAAAUUUUAAUUUUAAGUUCUUUUUAAUUCUAUGUUUUAAUUUAAUUUCCAUUUCAAUUUUACAGUAUUCCAUAUACUCCUAAAAAUUUGUUUUGUCUUGAUCUGUCUUUUAUUUUUUUAAGAUUUUUAAAUAUUUUUUUUUAUUUUUAUAGACGAUGAUAUAAAAACUUAAAUUUUAGGUAAAUUUUUAAAGUGGGUUGUCUAUUCUGCUACAGAAUCCCCUAACAAGUUUCUUUACCGCCAUUUAAUUUAAUUUUUUCUUUUUUAGUUACUCUUUUCUUUUUUCUUAAAA
rnacentral:rRNA from 1 species